CUUGUUACAGCCUGCUACCAUCAGCCCACAUCAUAUUCUGCCUCUUCUUCCUCCUUGCUGCUGCUAACCUAGUGAAACCAUUUCCCUCCAUCCUAUGUCAUCCAAACCAGAAAUCCUAAACUCUUCUUGUCUCUCUGCCUGUGGCAUUUGUACGGAGCCCCCGGUCGUCUCACGGACUAUUGACCCCUACACCACUAAUCCGCUGCCACCAACCAGGUCAUCCCCGGUAAAAUCACUUCAGCCUCAGUCAGGUUCUCAAUUAAUAAAGAAGAGUGUAUUUUAUUUCAGACACAAACAAACUUUUCCGGCAUUCCAAACAUUGUUACUCUUUACUUUCUUAGUCUUAUUUUCCUCUCUCUAUCUCUUCUACCUCCCCUCACUCAAGAACCCACUGCCCUAACUGUCUCUCUAUUUCCAACUGCCUGCCAGCUGCUUCUCCAACUGCCUUUCCCAACCAGCCAACCCACUAAAACCAACCAACUACCCACCAACAAUUCCCAACAACUCAAACCUCGGGCUAAGCCCUUUUAUACACAGGUAGGCUCUGCCUCCGGCUUUCCUAUUGGUCUAUAUUUUUAACCCUAUCUCUACCCCCUGUUCAAACAUUUUCUAAAUGAACGGGCAAACGCCACACUGCCCACUAACACACAGCUGCAGGAGGGGCCCCACACCAGCAGGAGACUUUGUUCCUCCAAUGAUCCCCACUCAGUUAGUUCUGCCAAGCUGGCCUGGCUCGCUAGCAUAAGCUGAAUCCAGGAGUUUCUGUGUUCAGCACGGUUUAGUCCAACCUUGAUUAAUUCUAACUUUUACUAAAGUCAAGAGUUAUGAGUGACUUACACCCACAUGCUCUGGCACCCAGAACCUAUAACAGUAUUAAAUCGAAUGCUCAGAGAACCGUGUCAUGAGUUUCCAUUCCAAGAAUUUGGCAUUAAUAUUGAAGAAGUGCAGUGCAUCUUGUGAGUGAGCAGAAGGGAUCCUUGAUCAUCCCAUAUGGUCACACACACUAACAACAUUUUGAAAAUAAAUAUCGGUCCAGAGAAUAUGCUUACUUUGAAAGGCAAAAUAGGAUUUGGUGUUUUACUAGGGACAGGUGUCCCCUCCAAAAAAGAAAAAGGGGGAAAGAGGCUUUCUCUAGUAAUUAGAGGCUUUUGUUUUUGUUUUAAAAUAUAGACCACUUACAAGUAUUGAACAAUAUACAACGUAACCUGAAAUAUGUUUAUCAUAAAAAACAUAAUCGAAAAAAUGAAGCAGCAGAAGUCUGUGAGAACAUAGAGGUAUCAAAUUCAACCUUAAGGCAAAAGGGUAUGUUUCCAAGAGGCACCAAAAGCAAAUAAUUCAUGGUGCCUUGUGAGGUUCAGAGGAAAGGAAUGCAGAAUAAAUGAAUUCAAAGUGCAUUUAAACACACACACCCAAAAUCUCCUGGGAACUGUAGUCUGUUAGAGGUGCUUGGAAUUGUAGCUUUUUAAGUAGAAAACUACAGUUCCCAGGUUUUUUGUAGGGGAGUGCUUUAAAUGUAAAAUGUGUCCAUAGCCUGAGUUGAAAGUACAAAUUUCACAUCUGUGCAUCUGUAGAUGUUUGGAUGUCCAGAUGUUUUGCAGAAGCAUUGGCAAGACUAUUGAUCCCUUUAAAACAGGAACUGCUCUCCUGCAGUUCUUGUUCGGAAGAUGCUUUGUCAAGAUGGCUUGGAUACCAAUGACAUUUAUUGGAAUUAUAAUUGACUUCAUGAUUUGUUUCUCCUACAGCUUGUUGGCCAAGUGAGUUUGACUGGUUGGCUCAGAGAGGGGGGGGGGGAAGUGUUGCCCUGGAGUUUCCAAUAUGAAGGAUGAUUGAUUGAGAAGCUAUUUGAGCAGACACUGUUCAGAUGACAAGAACACUUGAUUUACUCGCAGUCGCUAGCUGUAACUGGGAGCUGAGUACAUGCUCAAAGGCUUAAAGUGACAACUGCAAUAGAAUAACCCUCAUGUCUUAGCCCAAAAUAUCCCUCGGCUAUGAACUUCACAGCUGUCUUAUUGUCCUACUCUGUACAAUAAUUUAAGAAGAAUAAGAGAUUGCUCUCUGAUUACUAAUGGUGCCUGAGGCCCAGAUCUCAACAGAGGUACACAACACCUUUUGAAAGCAAUGUAAGGAUGUAGAAAAAAUUGUUUUUCAGUGCCAGCCAAGCUAAUUCACAGUUCCUGGACCUAUGAGCUGAUGAGAAAAUAGCUAACAAUGGCUAAACACCUAUGUAGUUUGUGAUGCCUACAGAAAUCUGUAUUUUAGGGGCAAAUGCUUACAGAAUUUGUACAGAAUGUGUGUAUUAGGGAAGAGUGUGCAUAAAAUUGCAUAGAACUUAAAUGCAAUUUAGACAGAAUGGGGUUAACAAAUAAACUGUGGUGAAUGGAAUGGAAAGGUAUUUAUUUUUGAAUGCGUAUGAAACUGACACAGAAGAGGAAUAAACUGAUAUAUUCCAUCCCUAAGUUUAUGCAAUCGUUCUUUCUUUUCCUUCUUUCCAAAGCACUUGUAGACCCAGCUGACCUAAGCAACUUGGUUGCUAACAGAAUGAAAUAUCUGUCUCUACAAAUCUGAAGGGUACAAACCUCCUGGCAGUACCCAGUCAUUCUUACACGGAGCUCAUUUGGACAUCGCUGAACAUUCAUUCUGCAGCUGUCCUUGAACCACCUCUGCGAACGCAAACACAAGGAAAUGGAGCCACUCGCCUUUUCCUCGACUGAAACACCAAGCGGGUGUUGCUUUUGCAGAACCACAGUGGUUUUAAGAAUGCCGAAAGAAUGUACCAAUUCUUGUCGUCACCACUUUAAGGGCAGAAUGAGGGUUUUAAUCUGUGUUAGCUAAUCCCUGGUUUGGUUCUUGUUAUCAUUUAAUUUGGAAUAAAAUGUGAUGGCACAGGUGGGGUUCUGCAACAAAAUGGUGCAGCAUGGAAUGCUUCUGUUGAGGGUUCCAUUCCAUUUCCUGCCCCACCCCUUAAUUCUCGUCUCCAACGCUCAGUUAGUAUCCCGUGACAACGUAGUGAUGGUAGGCAGGGGAAUGGGGGAAUCAGAUGAGCGACUGUUAGGGAAUCUUACGAUAAAGGGCAGAGUGAUGCUACUUUUGUUACUACUUUGGUUAUAACUAAUGUUACACAUAUUACUAGUUACACAUUACUAAUGUGGGUGGUGCUGUGGGUUAAACCACACAAACUAGGGCUUGCCGAUCAGAAGGUCGGCGGUUUGAAUCCCUGCAACAGGGUGAGCUCCCGUUGCUCGGUCCCUGCUCCUGCCAACCUAGCAGUUCAAAAGUAUGUCAAAGUGCAAGUAGAUAAAUAGGUACCGCUCCGGCGGGAAGGUAAAUGGCAUUUCCGUGUGCUGCUCUGGUUCGCCAGAAGUGGCUUAGUCAUGCUGGCCACAUGACCCGGAAGCUGUAUGCCGGCUCCCUCGGCCAGUAAAGCGAGAUGAGCGCCACAGCCCCAGAGUCGGUCAUGACUGGACCUAAUGGUCAGGGGCCCCUUUACCUUUACCUAAUGUUACACAUAAGCAAUGACCCUGACAGCUUGAAGAUUGGAAACAGGGGGAAGGAUAAGUCGCUUUUCCGCACAAAGGCAUCCGACACAAUCUACAAAGUUUGAAGCCAAACACAACAUUGGUCACAUUUCUAUUAUCUGCUCUGCAUUUAACAAAAGUCGGUGGGAGACUGUUUUCCAGCCUAAUUGCCAGGGAGGGAGGCAUCCUUUGAGGUGACUUGCAGGGGGAAGGGAGCAAUAACCCUCUCUGUGUGCUGUGAGUUUCAUGACGAUCACCUCCUCCUGCCAAUUAGGCUUGAAAAUAUUUCAAGUGCUUUUUCCCCAAGCCUAAUUGCUGCUGUGGAGUGUGUGAGAGGGUAUGAAUCUCCCUCCCUCCCCUUCUCUCUCUUUCUGUGUAUGCAUUAGAGAGAGCAAUGGAAAAAGUUUGUGUACGUUGCAUUGGGCUGACUGGCACAUGAUCCCCAGAAGAUUAAUCCUGAGGGAAUGAGGUCCUCAUGCUAAAAGGGGGUUUCCUGUUCCUGAUUCCUGACAAUGCUGGGCCAGAUGGACCAAUGGUGUGAUUCUGCGUAAGCUAACUUUCAAUAUUCCAGGCAGGGUUUCCAUUAUACAUUUACUCUCUUGUGAAAAGCUUUCUGCCAGAAGAAAGUACAGUGGUACCUUGGGUUCUUAACCUGAAACUGUUCUUAACCUGAAGCACCACUUUAGCUAAUGGGGCCUCCCACUGCCGCUGUGCCGCCGGAGCAUGAUUUCUGUUCUCAUCCUAAAACAAAGUUCUUAACCCGAGGUACUAUUUCUGGGUUAGCGGAGUCUGUAACCUGAAGUGCAUGUAACCUGAAGCGUAUGUAACCCGAGGUACCACUGUAACACAAAAGAAAGGGUUCUAGAUAGUCCUCUGCUAGUUGUCUACUUGUAGGGAGUUGUGUGGCUUCCUUCCUUCCUUCCUUCCUUCCUUCCUUCCUUCCUUCCUUCCUUCCUUCCUUCCGAAAUGAUAAUCCCCCUUGCCUUCCAAAGUGAUCAAUGCAUUCUACCAUCUCUGGAUUGCAUGGCGAAGCCCCAGGCCCUGCAAUUCCCUUAGAUAAUAAACACACAGACACAAAUGUUUAGGAGGUUAAUGGGAUAAAAUAGGCCACAACUUUAUUGGUUACAGAUGUGAGUGGUUUGGCUUAGGCAUCCAGACUAUAUCCUGGCUCCUGCCCAUCUGCAGAGAGUCUCAUAAGGUUAAAUCACCGGUAGGGGGAGCCCUAUGAUAUAAUAGGGCACCCCCAGGGUCUCCGAUAGGGUCAUGGCAUGGCCUUAGUUCACGCCCAGGUUUUGGACAGGAUCCACACCCCCAGAUCCAAUUAAUGGGAUACCCUUAACGAGGAGGGGCAGGCGGAGGCAAUAACCUCCCUUCCCAUAAACAAGACUUACUCAAUGCCUAACCUUACAAAGUUGUGACGAUUGCUACAAGGUAAGCGAAAUCCAAAUGGCUGGUGCCAAUUUGCCAGGUGGAAAAAUCCCUACUGGACUGCCAGUUGAUUUGUGUGGGGUCUUCCCAAUAAAGAGAACCUUGAAAGCAAACUCCCCACCCUAGCAAGAGCUGGCUUCUUGCAGUCAUUUAUCUAGGCAACCUUCUCCAUCAAGGAGGUCUUGUUCCAAUGCACAUUAGCAGCGGCUGGCUGGAAAUGUUUAAUGCCCAUUUCCUGGCUGUGUGCCAAUCAGGACAAAAAACUGAGAAGGGAGGAAGAAAGAGCAGCAAGGAGUGGAGGAAACCAUUUGGCUUCAUUUCAGGAUAUUAAAUGUUGGCUCUGGUGCCAACCUUUCGUUGUUGUUGCUUUUGUUUUGUGUGUGUGUGUGUGUUUUGGGGAGUGUCUUAAUUUCAGAUUCAUGGCUGGAUUUCAUCACCAAUAGGGGAUACACCGUGAAAGCAAAUGCAGAUCUGAUUGCCUCCUUUUGUUUGCUUUUCUUCCGAGGGAAAUGAACUAUCUUUAGCUGCUCAGAAGUUUGAAAUAACAAAAGGCUUCCCCUCCCCUGUAACACAGCUGGCAAGGGACCCCUCCCCCAAUUUCUUAAUACCUUGAUAUCUGGAGCCAUCCUAGCAAACUAAUGCUGGUGCAAAUAGGUGGGAAGCCCCAGCAAAAUCCCCUGAUAUUGAAGUGCUUCUGAGUAGACCAGAAUGCUGGAGAAAUAUUUACUGAACAAUAAAACACAAAAACACUACCUUUGGCCACAAUAAGUUACAGUCAAAACUCCCACCUUGGCCCAGACUGUAAGGAAUUACCAAGUGCCCAGAGAAUGAGUCUUGAAAGGGGAAGUUGGUUUUGCAAAGGAAGAAAACACCUGGGAAAAUUGGGAGCAAAUUUGAGCACAGAGCUAAUGCCCACCCCCCACCCCCGACUGCUAAUGCUCCCUCAUGAUGCAUUUGACACCAUGGCUAUAAACAAUUAGAGACAAAGCACAGUGAUGAGCCAAUGUGUAUUCUCCUCCACCCACACUUUGAGUACCGUAUUUUUUGCUUUAUAAGACUCACUUUUUCCCUCCUAAAAAGUAAGGGGAAAUGUAUGUGCGUCUUAUGGAGUGGAUGCAGUCUGUGCAGCUAUUGCAGAAGCCACAACAGCAAGAGGAAUUGCUGCUUUCACUGCGCAGCAAUCCCUCUUGCUGUUCUGGCUUCUGAGACUCAGAAUAUUUUUUUUCUUGUUUUCCUCCUCCAAAAACUAGGUGCGUAUUGUGGUCUGGUGCGUCCUAUAGAGCAAAAAAUACGGUGCAUGCUCAUUGAUCCAUUUGAUUCUUUCCCCACUUCAUUGCCUUCUCCCCAAGAGCAUACAUUGCCUCUCCCUUAAGCCUCCUUUGGGACAUGAACCAAUCAGAUGGAGAGACAACACAAUUCAUUGGCAGAGCAAACCCUUUGCAAAAAGAAGGUCUCAGGUUCAGUGCCUGACACUUCCAGUUUAAGAAAAGAAGGUCCAGUUACCGGAUAAGGAGAGCAGGCACAAUUCUGCUCAGCUGAAUACUUCCCUGGAGCUCAGUGGUAGAGAAGAUAUUUUGUGUGUUGAAGGUGCCCGAUUCCAUUCCUGGCAUUCCCUGUUAAAAUGAUCAGAUUGGUUGGAGCAUGGGGCUGAUAACAACACGGUUAUCCCAAGUAUGGGAUAACUUCAUAUUCCUGCAUUGCAGGGCUUGGACUACUAGAAGAUGCUCAGGGUCCCUUCCAGCUCUGUGAUUCUAUGAAUUCUAUGUGACAGACUUCUUCUUGAUUCCUGGAGAGUGGCUGCCAGUCAGAGUACACAACAUUGGGCUUGGCAGACAAAUAUUCUGAGCUGGUCUGAGGCAGCUUCCCAUGUGUGAUUUCUUACAAGUUUCAAGAGGUUGUUGUUGUUGUUGUUGUUGUUUAGUCAUUUAGUCAUGUCCGACUCUUCAUGACCUCAUGGACCAGAGCACGCCAGGCACUCCUGUCUUCCACUGCCUCCCGCAUUUUGGUCAGACUCAUGCUGGUAGCUUCGAGAACACUAUCCAACCAUCUCGUCCUCUGUCGUCCCCUUCUCCUUGUGCCCUCCAUCUUUCCCAACAUCAGGGUCUUUUCCAGGGAGUCUUCUCUUCUCAUGAGCUUCACGAUCUGUCCUUCCAGUGAGCACUCAGGGCUGAUUUCCUUAAGAAUGGAUAGGUUUGAUCUUCUUGCAGUCCAUGGGACUCUCAAGAGUCUCCUCCAGCACCAUAAUUCAAAAGCAUCAAUUCUUCAGUGAUCAGCCUUCUUUAUGGUCCAGCUCUCACUUCCAUACAUCACUACUGGGAAAGCAGUGUCAUACAUCAAGAGGUAAGCAGUGUCAAAAGACAUUGUGCAGCCCAGCUGAGGCACCCCCAAAUUUCCCUAGUAAUAAACUGAUUAAUAUUUCAGUCGAGCCCUCUAGUAUAGUAAAUACAACCUGAGCAGUUUCCCUCCAAAGCCAGCUUCUCCUCACAGCAGUGAUAGACAGCCUGGGCUGUCAAGAUGGCGUCUCUUUCUUUUAAGAUGGGAGCUUGCAAUGUCAAGCAGGCCAAGCCAGGUUCAUCACAGUAUUUGAAACAUUUCCAAAUUGCUUCUGGUGUUUGCAUAUACAUGCUGAUAUGGCUGGUUUGAGUUAUACUCAGGAUUCCUAUCAUGGCAGACAGUAAUGAACUGCAGGCUUUGAUACUGGGAAAGCAUCCUUAUCCCCUUUUCAGGUUAAUUAAGCAGCUUCUGGCUCCCCUUCUAGCUCAGUCCCUAUAGAUGCAUUUGGAACACAAUGUUUAUUGAUGGAUCAAUUAGGAGAGAAGCUUCUCCAAGCGUUAGUUAACAAAAAAUGUUGGGGGGGGGGGAGGAUUUCACAGUAAUGUUAGAAAUAAUUUCCUACUUUCCGGAACAGAGGGAUCUGUCCUUAUUUUAGCUUCCUUCUAUCCCCAGCCCUAGUUAUCCCUGUGUGAUUUAGAGAUUGCCCCAUCACCUCUCAUCCUGCUUUACCUUCCAUGCUCACUUUGGCUUCGUAGCACAUGAGCCUAAUUAUUCUUUCCCCCAAAAGUGAGACUCAUAAUAUUCUGCUCUUGAACAUGAGCACAUGCAAGCCAACCAUUCUGGAAGCUCUCUUAAUUUUGCCAGCCACAAAGCUUCAAUCUACCCACUUCAAACAGAUCCAGAAAUCAAAGGAGGUGAAAUUAGAAAGCGAUGAUUCCCCACACCCCAAUAUAUGCUCUGAAUUUCUCUCUCUAAUUGUACAGUUUUGGGUUAAACCACAGAGCCUAGGACUUGCUGAUCAGAAGGUCGGCGGUUUGAAUCCCCGUGACAUGGUGAGCUCCCGUUGCUCAGUCCCUGCUCCUGCCAACCUAGCAGUUGAAAAGCACGUCGAAGUGCAAGUAGAUAAAUAGGUACCACUCUGGUGGGAAGGUAAACGGCGUUUCCAUGUGCUGCUCUGGUUCGCCAGAAGUGGCUUAGUCAUGCUGGCCACAUGACCCGGAAGCUGUACGCCGGCUCCCUCAGCCAAUAAAGCGAGAUGAGCGCCGCAGCCCCAGAGCCGGUCACUACUGGACCUAAUGGUCAGGGGUCCCUUUACCUUUACCUAAUCACUCUUUUAAAGAAACAAAUGUCAUAGUAUUUUUCUUUGUUCUCACCAUAUCUUAUCAUUAUUCAGAAAAAAUAUUAAUUCUUAUUUAAAAAAAUAAAAGCAAUUAAAAAAACCCUGAAUCAAAAUAUACACAAUGAUAAGAAUAUAUUAUGGGGAGGGUCUCAAUAGUAGAGUAUUUGCUUUGCAUUUAGGAAGACUCAGAUUCAAUCCCCAACAUCUUCAGAUAGGAUUGGGAGAGAAAUCCUAAACAGCUGCUGCCAGUCAGUGUAGGUAAUGCUAAGCAGUAUAAGGCAGCUUCCUAUGUUCCUAAUACAAUAUAAGAUACAGUUCUGAUUUACUGUAAAACUGACAGUAGAGAUAGCUAGGAUCAAUCCUCUGGGAAGGCUUGUCUGAAUUAAAACUUCUUCAAUAGGCACUGAAACUCCAGUGAGCCAUUUUUUGACUGUAAUCUUCUGCCUGAAGAACUAGUAAUUUGAAGUAAGUAUAACUUGAGUUUGUGGAUCAUAAAUUUUGGAUUAGCACUGUCCAAUCUGUCUUCGAAGGCAAGGGAUGAGAGGGAGAAUGCCAGUUUAGGGAUUACUCAGUGAAAAUAUAAACACAGACAUGUGCUUGGAAUAUUGAAAAUGGUACUAGAUAUUCGCACCUAACUUUGCUGAAACUGCAAUAGGCCAAGUAUUGUAUUUCUGAAUAUUCACUUGUGGCAAAAUGCUGCAUUUUUGACUAUGGCAUGUGAAUGAAUUGGUUCAGGGAAGGUGGAAAGAACAGGAAAGGGGGAUUGAUUCCAUCUGGCAUACUGUGAUGGAAUGAUCAACACAGUGUGGCAUUGAAUACCUCUCUAUGUUUUAUAUUUUACAGCCUAGCAAGCCACCUUAUGCUGGAUCAGGUCACUGAAUCUGAACAUAGGUGUAUGUUGCUCAGAAUUAUCUACAAUGAUUGGCCGCAAUGCUCCUACUUGGAGAUGCUGGGAAUUGAACCCAGAACCCUUUUCAUGCAAUGCCUAUGGCUAAGGCAAGUUAUAAAUAAGACAUACUAACAAGAAAGCACCUGUUCUUUGUACUGAUAAACUCCUGUGGAAGUGGUAAACAACAAGGUUAGUUGAUUAGACAUCGACUAUGUGAUUUGACAAAACUCAAAUGACUAAGUGAGGUCACGGUCUGCCACCUUUCUUGUUUCUUCUGACCGCAAAGCCAUUGAGCUGGUCUCUGAAGAGGACUGGAGGUUGUUUUCCGAGCAGCAAUAUGGCUUGUUGGAAGGUAGCAAAUAAAGUUCUUAAUGUUAUCACCAGUGUUUACAUAUCCGUUUUGUGGCACGACCACUCCAAGGAGAGCAGCCUGCCAGCUUUACAGUUGUACCUUGGGCUACAGACGCUUCAGGUUACAGACUCUGCUAACCCAGAUAGUACCUCAGAUUAAGAACUUUGCUUCAGGAUGAGAACAGAAAUCGUGCAGCAGCGGGAGGCCCCAUUAGCUAAAGUGAUACCUCAGGUUAAGAACAGUUUCCGGUUAAGAAUGGACCUCCAGAAUGAAUUAAGUUUUUAACCUGAGGUACCUCUAUAAAUGAAGAGAGUCGAUAAUACUUGCAACACCCCAAAUGAAGAGAUAAGACUCAAGUCUUCGGGGGAUUAAAAAUGAGCAACAACUUUCCUGGGGUUCUCUUUCCACUCCCUGCCCUCCAGUGUCGGGUGUCCAGUGUGAGGCAUAUUUGUCCUUCUUUCUCAGCAUUUUUGGGGUGAGCUCCAGGGCCUAUGCCUGCUAUUCCUCCUACCCGUAGUCCCACAUUUGUGUGCAGAGGAAAGUUUAGGGUUGUAUUCAUUGUAACACAAAGGAGAUUGCUUGACAGAACCCUUUCCCCUCUUCCCCCCACCACAAACUAUUCAGAGGGUUAUCUUGACCCUUUGGAGCAGAUUUGGGAAUGGUGUGGGGACAGAAGAGUGUGGGGAGAGACCCAUUGUGUUAGUACAAUGAUUUAGUUGAAUAGAGCCCUUACUCUCAUCAACACCCAUGGCUAGCCCAAAACAUUUUGGUACCAGAGGCAGAGCAGCUAGCUGUGCCCCUUUCCCUUCUAAACCAAGGUGCCCAGGGCUAGUAACACCUGGAGCAAAAAACAAGUCCUACAUGCAGAAAAGCCUCCUCCCUAGCAGUAGAAAAUACAAUAAUAACAAGACAAACUAAUGAUUUGCUGCCUUCUCAUGACAGCCAUAAUCCACCGCCUGAGGUAGCUGUUUCACUGUCUAAUGGUAGGACCAGCCUUAUUAAAACUCCAUGAAUCUUGUUGGGUUUGUAUGGAUGAGUUGAUGGACCUCAAGGUAAGGCCCUGCUCUUAUUCCUUCUAGCCUCAUGGCACUGAAAGUUCAGGUCUGAGGAAGCCUCCCUUUCCCUGAAAAGAUGUCACAUGGUGCUCGCCAAAUGUUGAUUUCUGUUUUCUUCCCCUGAACCAGCACAGAAUCUUUAGCCCUUCCGAUAUUGCUGAACUACAACAACCGUCAUCCCUGGCCACUUGCCAUACUUCCUAAGGUUAAUAGGACUUGGACUACCUCAGGAGAACUAAAGAUUCCCCACACCUGAUGCCGAUUCCCCCUGCCACUGCCGCCACACACGUGAGGUAAAAUAUUUCCAUGCAGUCCCAGUAACAGACAACUACUUGAAUCCACACACUGUUUCCAUACAAACCAAAGGGAGAGAAGGGAGGUGCAUCUCUGAUUUUAAAGACUCUGCAUGUGGCUGUACUGCAAGUCGCUCUUCAUUCUGUCAUCCUCCUGAGGUGUUGGGUGCAAAACUGCUCCCCUUCAACGCCCAACCUGAGGGUUCCCUGGCAAAGCGGAGUCAUAAAAAAUAAAUGCCAAGAUUCUGUUCCAGCGCCCCUUUGAUUCUGCCCAGAUUGUGGCAUGAUGACAACCGUUCCGUAUUAAAGGCAUUAAGAGUCACAAAGACCUCACGCUGACCUCUUAAAUCCAGAUAAUAACAAAGGAACAUCAAGGUCCUUGCCCUUUGAAACUCAUGUAAUGCCAGCAGAUGAAGCGGCAAAUCAUCUCAAGGGACUGUAUUGAAGCCUAAAUAUCUGAGAUUGAUUCAGCUGAGCUCUGGCAGAUGUGCCAAGGCCUUGGGCUGGGGAGCUGCAUGUGCUUUUGUGCACCCGGGUGACACUUGGAUCAAAGCUAUUGUUUUGUUUUUUUAAAAAAGAGGCACCAUCAUUUCCCAACAGCUGUCCAUGUUUUUCUUUACAAAUUACACUACACGAGGGCAAGUCAUAUGACACUGCUCCUACAGGACAGCCACAGGGAAAAGAGGAGCUUGGCCUGACUUCUACUGCCAGUGACCCAUGCUUGGAUGAUCUGAGCAUGUGCUGUGGCAACAUGGAGUUGUUUUGGUGCACUACAGUUUAGGCAUGUGGCAGAAGCAGCUGGAAAUCAGUACGGAAUAUAUAUUUCUCUUGAAAUGCUGACCGCCAUGCUUUGAAAUGAUUGUGUGGCUCACCCAACAUGCGUGCGUGCACAUGCACACAUACACGCACACGCAUACACACACACACACACACACACACACACACAAACACAUCCUAUCGUUCAGCCCGGACACUGAGGUCCAGCUCUGAGGGCCUUCUGGCAGUUCCCUCACUGUGAGAAGUGAAGUUACAGGGAACCAGGCAGUGGGCCUUGUCUGUAGUGGCACCCGCCCUGUGGAACACCCUCCCACCAGAUGUCAAGGAAAUAAACAACUAUCUGACUUUUAGAAGACAUCUGAAGGCAGCCCUGUUUAGGGAAGUUUUUGAUGUUUUAUCGCUUUAUUAUUAUUAUUAUUAUUAUUAUUAUUCGGCUGGGAGUCACCAAGAGUGGCUGGGGAACCCAAGCCAGAUGGGUGGGGUAUAAAUAAUAAACUAUGAUGAUGAUGAUGAUGAUGAUGAUGAUGAUGAUGAUGAUGAUGCCAUACUAGGGAUGAACCUACCUAAUUUUCCUUUUCUGAAAUAACACGCAAACAGAAACACAGCUAUCCUUUGAAAUGUGCAUUUCUCAUUUUGAAAAACCAUUCAUUGCAAUUUUCUGACUAAUCAUUAUCCCACUACCACUCCCUAGACUCCCAGCCUUGUUCCCUUGGGGGUGCCUCAUCUGGUUCCUCCCACCACUCCUCUGCAUCCUACCAGUCCAUGACAUCGUGCCAUCAGCAGACUCUUCUUAUGAACAUUAUGAUGCCUGCCUGAAACCCAGAAGAGUCACUGCCAGUCAGUGUAGAUGAUACUAAGCUAGCUAGAGCAACGGUCUGACUCAGUAUGAGGCAGUUCCCUACCUUCCUGCGGAGCUAAGCAAGCAGAGAGUUCCAGUGGCCACGACAGUGGUGAGUUUUGAGAAUUUCCAUUCCACCUUAAGGAGCAGACGUGUGGAACUGUUGCGUGUCACAUGUCUGUUUACAUUCCAGCACAUCUUGCUGGGAACUUCCAUUGUG